UUAAGUCUAGCCAAACUGAAAAGGCUG
rnacentral:sRNA from 1 species